GACGAGGAUGCGCGCUCGAUGGCGACGGAGGCGGCGGAGGCGCCCGAGCAUCGCACGGUAUAUCUCAACAAGGAGCAGCCGGCCAACAAGUGCGUCUCCAACGCCAUCACCACCGCCAAGUACAGCGUCUUCUCCUUCCUGCCCAAGUUCUUGUUUGAGCAGUUCCGCCGCUACUCAAACAUAUUCUUCCUGUUCAUCGCGCUGCUGCAGCAAAUACCGGAUGUGUCUCCUACCGGCAAGUACACCACGCUGACGCCACUGGUGUGCAUCCUGACCAUAUCGGCCGUCAAGGAGUUCAUAGAGGACUGGAAGCGGCACCGCGCCGACGACGAGGUCAACAACCGCCAGGUGGAGGUGCUGGACGAACACAACUGGCGCUGGAAGCGCUGGGCCGAGGUGGGCGUCGGCGACUUCUGCAAAAUCCGCAGCGACCACUACUUUCCAGCCGACCUGAUGCUGCUCUCCUCCAGUGAGCCGCAGGGCUUGUGCUACAUCGAGACGGCCAACCUGGACGGGGAGACGAACCUCAAGAUCCGCCAGAGCCUGCCGGCGACGGCGCGGCUGCUGGACACGCGCGACCUGGACCAGCUGAGCGCCCGCGUCGACUGCGAGCCGCCCAGCCGGGUCCUAUACGAGUUUGUCGGCACGCUGAAGGAGACCGGCAAAUCAGAGGUGGCGCUGGGCCCGAACCAGCUGCUGCUGCGCGGCGCCAAGCUAAAGAACACCACAUGGGUGUUCGGCGCUGUCGUCUACACCGGCCACGAGACCAAGUUGAUGAAGAACUCGUCGCCGGCGCCGCUGAAGCGCUCGACGGUGGACCAGCGCACCAACACGCAGAUCCUGUUCCUGUUCGGCCUGCUGGUGGUCCUGUGCGUUAUAAGCGCGGUGGCCAGCGAGUUCUGGACGGUGCGACACCAGGCUACCGACUGGUACCUCGGCCUUGACGAGAUGUCGACUGUCAAUUUCGGAUACAACCUCCUGACGUUUAUAAUCCUGUACAACAACCUGAUUCCGAUAUCGUUGCAAGUCACCGUUGAGAUUGCUAGGUUUAUCCAGGCCCUUUACAUAAAUAUGGACCAUGAGAUGUACUACGAGCCGACGGACACGCCGGCCAUGGCUCGCACUUCCAACCUGAACGAGGAGCUGGGCCAGGUCAAGUACGUGCUCACGGACAAGACGGGCACGCUCACCCAGAACGUGAUGGAGUUUAAAAAGUGCACCAUCGCCGGCACCAAGUACAGCUCGGCCGAGGAGCUGGAUGCUGCGUUGAAGGACCGCGACCCCAGCCUGCAGUCGGGUGACGUUAUCCAGGACUUCCUGCUGAUGGUGGCGGUGUGCCACACUGUGAUCCCCGAGGAGCAGGAGCGCGCCUCCGGCAAGGUCGUCUACCACGCCGCCAGUCCAGACGAGCGCGCCCUGGUGGAGGGCGCCAGCCGCCUGGGCUACACCUUCACCACGCGCACGCCGCAGACGCUCUCGGUGGAUGUGCACGGCCAGCUGCUGCAGAUCGAGGUGCUGAACGUCCUCGAGUUCACCAGCACCAGGAAGCGCAUGUCGGUGAUCAUCCGCCAACCCAACGGGCGUAUCCAGUUGAUGUGCAAGGGCGCCGACACGGUCAUCUACGAGCGGCUGGGCGACCCGCGCUACAAGGACGAGACGCUCUCGCACCUGGCCGAGUUUGCCAGCGAGGGCCUGCGCACGCUCUGCCUGGCCGUGGCUGACAUCGGCGACCAGGAGUACACGGAGUGGAUGGAGACCUACCACAAGGCGUCGACGGCGAUCCAGUGCCGCGAGGAGAAGAUCGAGGACGCUGCCCGGCUGAUCGAGACCAACCUGGUGCUGCUGGGCGCCACCGCCAUCGAGGACAAGCUGCAGGACCAGGUGCCCGAGACCAUCGAGUCGCUGCUGGCGGCCGAUAUUCACGUCUGGGUGCUGACCGGCGACAAGCAGGAGACGGCCAUCAACAUCGGCCACUCGUCCCGCCUGCUCCACUCCAAGAUGCCGCUGCUGCUUCUCAACGAGGACGGACUGGACCGGACACGCGCCGUGGUGACGGAGCGGCUGAACGAGAUGCGGGAGCACCGCGAGGAGGCCGGCCAGGUGGCGCUCAUCAUCGACGGCCGAACGCUGCAGUACGCGCUGACGCACGAGCUGCGCGCCGAGUUCAUGGAGCUGUGCCUGGGCUGCCGCAGCGUCAUCUGCUGCCGCGUCAGUCCCGGCCAGAAGGCUGAGAUCACCGAGCUGGUGACACAGCAGACCAAGGCCGUCACGCUGGCCAUCGGCGACGGCGCCAACGACGUGGCCAUGAUCCAGGCGGCGCACGUGGGCGUGGGCAUCGCCGGCGUGGAGGGCCUGCAGGCGGCGCACGCCUCGGACUACGCCAUCGGCCAGUUCCGCUUCCUGGCCCGCCUACUGCUCGUGCACGGCGCCUGGAACUACAGCCGGCUGACGAACGUCAUCCUAUACAGCUUCUACAAGAACAUCUGCCUGUACGUGGUGGAGCUGUGGUACGCCAUCUACUCCGGCUGGUCCGGGCAGGUGGUAUUCGAACGCUGGACCAUCGCCGCCUACAAUCUGCUCUUCACCUCCGUGCCGCCGCUCAUCAUGGGCUUCAUCGACCGCUCGUGCAGCGCCGAGACGCGUAUGAAGUACCCCCAGCUCUACAAAACCUCACAGCAGGGACAGCUCUUCAGCGUCCAGGUUUUCUGGCUGUGGAUCAUCAACGCGUUGGUACACUCGGUGAUGCUGUUCUGGCUGUCGUUCGGCGCCAUGGAGCAGGACGUGGCGUGGUCCAGCGGCAGGAAUGCUGGCUACCUCAUGCUCGGCAACAUGGUCUACACGUACGUGGUGGUGACGGUGUCGCUGAAGGCUGGUCUGGAGAUGAAGGCCUGGACGUGCCUGACCCACCUGGCCAUCUGGGGCUCGAUCGUCGUCUGGUUCGUCUUUCUCUUCGUGUACGCCCAGCUGCCGUUGGCGGACGACAUCCUCGGUCUGCACACCAUGAUCUUCAGCUCGCCCGUCUUCUGGUUCGGCCUGCUUCUGGUGCCGACCGUCACCAUACUGCCGGACGUGCUGUUCAAGAGCGUCGUCAACACCGUGAGCACGUCGCUGACGGACAAAGUGCGGGAGAGCGAGAUCAACUCCAAGGACCCAGCCGUUCUGCUGGCCGGAGAUGGCAAGCAAAAUCUAGAGCCCAUUCGGUUUGAAGACGCCAUGUUUGGGAGCAUCCCAGGCAGCUACCUCUCUGUUCGCGACUUUGGCUGACGGAGACGGCGCGGCUGCUGCGCAACGUCAAGAACGUGUUCCGACGCACCACCACCCGCGUCGACCUGGAGGUAGAGCUCUCCCAUGGAUAUGCGUUCUCUC
rnacentral:misc_RNA from 1 species